rnacentral:rRNA from 1 species
CAGCCGCCGCGGUAAUACGAAGGGGGCUAGCGUUGCUCGGAAUCACUGGGCGUAAAGGGUGCGUAGGCGGGUCUUUAAGUCAGGGGUGAAAUCCUGGAGCUCAACUCCAGAACUGCCUUUGAUACUGAAGAUCUUGAGUUCGGGAGAGGUGAGUGGAACUGCGAGUGUAGAGGUGAAAUUCGUAGAUAUUCGCAAGAACACCAGUGGCGAAGGCGGCUCACUGGCCCGAUACUGACGCUGAGGCACGAAAGCGUGGGGAGCAAACAGGAUUAGAUACCCCUGUAGUCCCUGUCUCUUAUAA